UUCCGGGAGCGUACAGUUGGCGUUUGAACGCUACAGUGGAUGCCUAACUGCUGCUGGUAGCGCGCAGCCAGGUUUGCUGACAGAGGAAAUAGCGGUUGGGACCCUGGGCUUCCACGUUAUGGAAAUGCCAUUGGCUAGCGCACAGUAGCUGAGGUUCGGCUCCUUUUCCUGUCAGGGACUGAGCGCCAGCGGGGACAUGGCAGCGGCCACAACCAGCAGAAGCCCUGCGAGACCGGGAGAUGGGGCUAGUGGCCUGAGGAGAGUUUCUAGGGUCGCGCGGAUCCCCUGAAAAUCUCAGACGGAGGACCAGCCUCUCAACUUCAGUGCGCAUGCGCGGGCCGAACUUUUGAAAAGCCAUUUGCAAGACUAUAUGGAAUGCUAGUGAUAUCAAAACAGUUUCGGCAAACAUUUGGCUAACUGCAGAAUUAUGGUUCGACUAACCUUGGAUCUAGUUGUUAAAACUGUCAGUCACAAAAACUACAAAGAAGAGUCCCUGGCACAGUACCUGAGAAAGAUAACUCACCUGAACUUAUCAGAUAAAAAUAUUGAUACAAUUGAUGACCUCUCUUUGUGCAGAAAUCUUAAUGUCCUGUAUCUGUAUGAUAACCAAAUUAGACAAAUCCAUAACUUGGGCUUUGCUUCAAAUCUAACACAUCUCUACCUGCAAAACAAUUGCAUUUCAUGUAUAGAGAACCUCACAUCACUGAAAAAACUUGAGAAACUGUAUCUGGGAGGCAAUUACAUCACUGUAAUUGAAGGCUUGGAAACAUUAGAAGAACUGAGAGAGCUGCAUGUCGAAAGCCAACGGCUUCCUCUUGGAGAAAAGCUCUUGUUUGAUCCAAGAACUCUUCAUUCUCUGGCAAAAUCUUUGUCAGUGUUGAAUAUCAGCAAUAAUAAUAUAGAUGAACUAGAAGAAUUAGGACUUCUGGAAAAUAUUUCCCAUCUCAUAGCAGUUGACAACCAGCUUCACCAUGUGAAGGAUUUGGAGUUUGUUUUGAACAAAUGGACCAAGCUGUGCAGUAUGGAUCUUAAAGGGAAUCCUGUUUGCCGUAAACCAAAAUACAGGGACAGGCUGAUUCUACAGUCAAAAACUCUAGAAUCCCUUGAUGGGAAAGAAAUAAAAGAAAUGGAAAGACAAUUCCUAAUGAAUUGGAAAGCAUCCAAAGCCUCAAGGAAAAAAAGCAAGGAAGAAAGCAUGACAAAUGAACAUGCAACUUAUCCACAUUUCUAUGACUUUGGAACAGGCCAUCCAAUUGUUCCUGUUUAUUGCAAUCCUUCUGGAAAAGGAAAACCAAAAUUUCUUAUUUUAUCUGAUGUACAGAGGUCUCCACAUAACAGAGGAAAAUUUCUGCAAAGACCCCAGGAAGGAAGUAACAUUAAUGUUAGCAAAAAAAUCAGAUCUUCAGUCUAGCAAGCUUAACUCAGAGUUAGAGAACAUUUUUCUGCAGGAUUGAUACAUAAGAGAGAAAAAGAGUAUGAGAGAUUCAGAGACAAUGAAUGCAGUCACCUGACCUUGAAAGAUGCUCAAAGUUCACAACCAAAAAACGAUCUAUUGGAACCUCAUCUCCUCAGUCAGAUACCACUGUAACCAGAGACUGAAAAGACAACUGCAUCUUUCUGUUCACUUAAUUCCCAGCAGAAUUAUUGCUACACUAUAAUUGGGGUAUAUCAGAACCUGGUAUGAAAUGAUACAAGUAAGAGCCCAAUGCUUUAUUCAAAAAGAACAUUUUUACAAGAUUUUCCUUUUAUGCUCACAAAAGAAAUUGUGACAUCAGUCACCACUAUUUUGCAUAAUACAUGUGUAUGCAUUAAUUUAUAUCUAUUUUAUGGUAACAUUUUCUGAAAUAAAAGGCUUUCAGUUGGGUAAUACAGUUUCAUUUAUAUGAAAGAAAUGCUAGGACUACCAAUUAUACAAUUUUUCUCACAUUAAAAUCUAAAUAUUAUUAAUGGGUAUUUGAAUACAAAUGUACAGUAUAAUUUAGAAAUAAAUUGACUCAUCUUACAGAAAAACAGGGUAUGUGGAUGAUACAAAAAAAUACAGAGGGGUGUCUGCCACUCUUCAGAUCUUUCAAGAAACCUUAAUAUUCUGCUUCUGCAACACAGACAACAAAAACAGCUUUUGAUGCAAUGCCUUCCUCAUACACAUUUUAGAUACUUUUUGAAAUGUGAUAUUCUGUAAAAAUAAAUAAACAAAAUGUUAAGUUUUGGGUUUUGCUUGUUUUUUU